GACGUAGGGGGCAAGCGUUGUCCGGAUUUAUUGGGCGUAAAGAGCGUGUAGGCGGCCAGGUAGGUCAGCUGUGAAAACCCGAGGCUCAACCUCGGGCCUGCAGUGGGUACGGGCAGACUAGAGUGCGGUAGGGGAGAUUGGAAUUCCUGGUGUAGCGGUGGAAUGCGCAGAUAUCAGGAGGAACACCAAUGGCGAAGGCAGAUCUCUGGGCCGUAACUGACGCUGAGGAGCGAAAGCAUGGGGAGCGAACAGG
rnacentral:rRNA from 1 species